rnacentral:siRNA from 1 species
AUUUCUGACAUCGUGCUGUUGUGC